rnacentral:ncRNA from 1 species
UACCUGGUUGAUUCUGUCAGUAGUCAUAUGCUUGUCUCAAAGAUUAAGCCAUGCUUGUCUAAGUGCACGCCGUCAUACCAUAAAACCAUGAAUGGGUCAUUAAAUCAGCUAUCGUUUAUUGGAUCAUAACCGUUAAAUGGAUAACUGUAAUAACUCUAGAGCUAGUACAUGACCUGAAGCCCGGACCCGCGAAAAAAUAAGUGCACGUAUAAGAUCAGAAGCCACCCUGCCUGUCGUUCUUCUGGUGACUAUGGAUAUUUUUUUACAUAUCGCAGUGGGCAUUGCAUCGGCGACGGGUCCUUCAAAUGUCUGCCCUAUCAACUUUCGAUAGAAGGUUAGCUGCCUACCAUGUUGGUAACGGAAAACGAAGAAUCAGGGUUCGAUCCGGAGAGGGAGCAUGAGAAACGGCUCACACUUCCAAGGGAGGCAGCAGGUGCACAAAUAACCCACUCCCAGGCGGGGAGGUGGUGACGAAAAAUACCGAUGCAAAAUUAUUAUUGAGGCUCCGUUAUCGGAAUGAGUAAACUCUAAAUUCUUGCACGAGGAUCAAUUGGAGGGCAAGUCGGGUGCCAGCAGCCACCAUAA